GUUGGACUGUACCUUCCCUGAUCUUACCAUCAGCUCAGCUGAAGGUGACUCCCCAUUGUGUUAUCAAGAAAAACACUACAUUUCUCAGCCUUCCUUGCAGUGAGCUUGGAGCCAGGAGAACUGGGCUAUGAAGAGGGAGAUUUAAUUCCUAAAAACAUCCCAUUGGGAGCUCCAACUCUCUCUCCUUCUGCUAUGGGUUUAAGAGUUUAAAGAAGCAUAAAAAUGAUCUAUUCAUGCACAAUCAAUUAAGGUGCAAGACACUAUAAGGAACUGUAAAAGAUAUUCAUGAAACACUGAGGGGAGACCAGACAGUCUACCACAUCAAAAUGAAAUUCAACAACAGUGACGCUGGCCAGGAAAUUUGAAGGAAGGCAAGCACAAUUGUAAAACAGGAGAGCUAAAUGGCAUAGAUUAAUCAAUAAAAGUAUUGAUUAAUGAAAA